ensembl:miRNA mdo-mir-27b mdo-mir-27b
ACCUCUCUGACAAGGUGCAGAGCUUAGCCGAUUGGUGAACAGUCACUGAUUUCCUCUUUGUUCACAGUGGCUAAGUUCUGCACCUGAAGAGAAGGGG